UAAUGUUAUGGUUGGGUUUACCUUCACGAUUGCUAGUAGUUGCGGAUGCUUGCUAGAGGUCCAGUCAUAAGUUCAUAUGAUCCAAGUACACAAAGUAUGUUAGUGUAUGCCUCUCUCAUAUAAAUUUACAAUAAUGGUUACUCAUCUUGUUAUUGAUUGCCUAGGGACAAAUCCUUCUCUUGUGUUACAAAAAUCUCUCUACUAAACAACUAACUUAAUUAAUAUUUAUCUAAACAUCCCCUAACUUUUAUUAACUUGAUCUUUAUUACCUUG
rnacentral:lncRNA from 1 species